GGAGAAGGAAGGAAGGAAGAAGAGCCAGUUGCUCAGCGAAGGAAGAGAGAACGGCCAAAUGGAAAUCAAGUGCCAAGAAGACCUCAGCCGAAUGUGACACUGAAGCAGAUCUACCCACAAGGCCUAGCAGUGGAAAGUUUUUGGGUGGUCGAGACACCCUACCCUCAUCCACUGAAUUUGAACAGAGGCUGGAGUUGAUGCGUGGAAAGUUAC